GGAAGGUGUGCCCCCAAAAGAGAGAGGACACCCCGAAGAUGACAAGAAGUACAAGGCAUCUUUCAGCUUUGUACUGAUUGGCCUCUCCUCACCCCAGCACAUGCAAGAAGCCCCUCCCAUCAGCAGAUAGGUCUACAUUUUCUCGGUCUUCCUCUCAAUGGCUCUUGCUUCUCUGGCUGAUGACCCAAGGUACCUGACAUCAGAGGAGAAUGGAGACUUCGGAGCCAGACCCAUAAGCCUGCCUGCCAAAGAAAGGAGGGAGGCUGCUGCUGCUGUCAAGACCUUCUGGAAGUGGACCACCCCAGACCUGAUGCUCCAGCUCAGGCUGCGAAUAGUGAUAGUAAUAUCAAAUAAAGAUAAUUUGCUUAUUCUCAA